CGCCAACUUCGCCUCUUGCGGUAGGAUUCUGGGAAGGCGUCACUUCCUAGAGUGGUAGAUUCCAAAACCAGCCUUUUGCAAGUCGGUGCCACCUCCUCGCGGUGCCCGGUUCCUCUGUCUCGACCGGUCGCGUGAGAAGGGAAUCUGAUUUUCAUCUGUGCCAGAUUUUUGCUGGAAGGCUGAUGAACAUUCAAAGAGUGGUAUUGCAUUCACGCCCUGGCAUCAAUGGAGUGCCAGUUGCAGAAAACUUCCGUAUGGAAGAAGCCACCCUCUCAGACAAAAUUGCUGAGGGUCAAGUUAAAGUCCGUACACUUUAUUUGUCUGUGGAUCCUUACAUGCGGUGUCGUAUGAAUGAAGAUGCUGGCUCUGACUACCUCCAGGCUUGGAAAUUGUCUGAAGUUACUGAUGGAGGUGGAAUUGGUUGUGUGGAAGAAAGCAGAGAUGUGCAUUUUGCUCCAGGAGACUUUGUGACUUCCUUUACCUGGCCCUGGCAGACCAAAGCCAUUUUAGACGGAAAGCAACUGAAGAAGAUCGAACAACACCUUGUAGAUGGACACCUUUCCUAUUUCUUGGGUGCAGCUGGCUUGACUGGGCUGACGUCUUUGCUGGGAAUCAGAGAGAAAGGACAUGUAUCUCCAGGCUCUAAUCAAACCCUGGUUGUCAGUGGAGCUGCUGGUGCUUGUGGCUCCCUGGCUGGGCAGAUAGGUCUCCUGGAGGGCUGUUCUAAAGUAGUUGGUAUUUGUGGCACAGAUGAAAAAUGCAAGGUUUUGGUCUCGGAAAUGGGUUUUGAUGCUGCAAUCAACUAUAAGAAAGAGAAUGUGGCACAGCAGCUACACAAACUUUGCCCAGAUGGAGUGGAUAUCUACUUUGACAAUGUUGGUGGAGACAUCAGUGAUACAGUAAUAAGACAAAUGAAUUCAAAUAGCCAUAUUAUUUUAUGUGGUCAAAUCUCCCAAUAUAACAAGGACAUGCAGUACCCACCUCCUUUACCUCCAGAGGUAGAAGAAAUAAGGAAAUCACGGAACAUUACUAGAGAAAGAUUCCUGGUUUUGAACUACAUGGAGAAAUAUUCAGCUAGUACUCUGCAGCUUUGUCAGUGGAUAAAAGAAGGAAAAUUGAAGGUAUUAUAAAAAUCAAUAGGUCAAGGAGACCAUCGUGGAAGGCUUAGAAAACAUUGGAGCUGCUUUCGUAUCUAUGAUGACUGGGGGCAACAUUGGAAAACAGAUAGUGCUUGUUUCCAAAUAAAACCAAUUUCUGACCUAUUUUGUGUCUACCAAGAAAGGAAAUAUUUGCAUAGUCUGGUAUGGUCUUAACCUUUGUAUCUCUAUCCCAUUUUGAUGAUUAAUAAAAUCUUUUGAAUUUUAAUUUUUUUCUAAGUUCUUUAAGGACUUUUUCUUCCCUCUCUAGAGUUUCUUUUUCAAUCAAAAUGUGUUUCAUAGUCUUCAGUAACUAAUGAUAAAAUAUUAUUACUGUACCACUGCUGCAGAAAUAUAAACUCUGUAUGUGUAAUACAAAACUAAGGUUAGUUUUAGGUGUUUGAAGGAAUGUUUGCAAGCAAAUUAUCAUGGCUCAUUUGGCCAAUUCGUGAUUUGGUUUUCUUCUGCCUUUGUUAAUAUCUAGAAAGCAAUUUUCUAAUAAUACUAUAGUAGUGUUUCUGAAUUUGAGGAUAAAUGUAAGCCAUAGUUGAACAACUAGGAUUUUGUAACCAACUUCAAAACUUUAAAUUAAGGUUUUUCAAAAAAUAAACCAUGGCUUACUCCCUGGAAGUAAGUAAACCAAUUAGACAAACCAUAUAUUGACUUACGUUUUGGUUAUGUAUAAAUCACACUCUAAUCACUACUGAAAGUAAAACAAUAAUGAGAAUCUAUUAAACUUAUUUGUUAAUGUAA